GUCACCGUGGGGAACGGUCACUGUGAGGAGCGGUCACAGUGAGGUGUGAACACCGUGAGGUGUGGUCACUGUGGGAAGCAGUCACAGUGAGGUGUGGUCACCAUGGGGUGUGGUCACCAUGGGGUGUGGUCACUGUUGGGAAUGGUCACAGUGAGGUGUGGUCACCAUGGGGUGUGGUCACCAUGGGGUGUGGUCACUGUUGGGAAUGGUCACAGUGAGGUGUGGUCACAGUGAGGUGUGAACACCGUGAGGUGUGGUCACUGUGGGAAGCAGUCACAGUGAGGUGUGGUCACCAUGGGGUGUGGUCACCAUGGGGUGUGGUCACUGUUGGGAAUGGUCACAGUGAGGUGUGGUCACCAUGGGGUGUGGUCACCAUGGGUUGUGGUCACUGUUGGGAAUGGUCACAGUGAGGUGUGGUCACCAUGGGGUGUGGUCACCAUGGGGUGUGGUCACUGUUGGGAAUGGUCACAGUGAGGUGUGGUCACCAUGGGGUGUGG